rnacentral:lncRNA from 1 species
UGGUCUCUUUCCAUUAAACAAUUUUGAAAUUAGACAAAACAUAUGAAAUCAACUUUUCAGGCACUUGAUGAAAGACUCAGCAGAAGGCUUCAUCCUCCAGAGGAAGGAUAUGAGUGAUCUGAGCCCUUCAUUUCACCCUCACUUUCUUCAUGACAUCACAUCCAGAGCCAGCUUGUAUGGAGGUGGAAGUGCAGUGCUGGGGAAGAGUGGGGCUCUCACAGAGCUGAGGGCAUGGGCCCACAGUCUGAGGCCUCUGAAGGGGCUGGGAUUUGUGGAACAGUGCCAGGAGAAGAAGGCUGAGAAGAUGCUGUUGACAGACCUCAUAGGAAUGUUCCCCUUGGACCUUUGGCUGAAAACUGGUCUGCUUUUGCAGCAGUUUUUGUAAACUUUAAGGGAGGAUGUUAUGUUUUUGGUAAGUGAAUAGAGAAACUGAGGACAGACUAAGUUAGGACUCCUCUGAAUUCCACUCCUGAGAGAAUGAAUAAAUCUCCAGGAAUUCCUUGGGCAUUCAGAGGAGACCUAGGAAAAGCCAAAUAUUGAUGGCUAUUCCUAAGAGUGAGAUAAAAAUUUAAAUAGAGCCAGUUAAAUAGUACAGAAAUUAUACCUAAUGAUAAAUUAUACCUAAUACCUAAUGAAGUAGAUCUGCCAUUAAUUUAAUUCCUGACAGAACAAAACUCAGCAACCCUUAGAGAAGACAAGCCUUCAUACGAAGAUGCAGCCACAAUGCUUAUCAUAUAAUACAGAAUUACUAGUUAGGAAAAGAAGGAUAGUGUGACCCAAAAUCAAACAGAAAGAACUACCAAUAAAGACAGACUUUAAUAUAGAGAUAUGUGAGCCCUGGGUUCGAUCCCCAGCACCAGUAAGAAAAUCUCUC